rnacentral:rRNA from 1 species
AACGCUAGCUACAGGCUUAACACAUGCAAGUCGAGGGGCAGCAUGAACUUAGCUUGCUAAGUUUGAUGGCGACCGGCGCACGGGUGAGUAACGCGCAUCCAACCUUCCGUACACUCAGGAAUAGCCUUUCGAAAGAAAGAUUAAUACCUGAUGGUAUGAUGAGAUUGCAUGAAAUCAUCAUUAAAGAUUCAUCGGUGUACGAUGGGGAUGCGUUCCAUUAGAUAGUAGGCGGGGUAACGGCCCACCUAGUCGACGAUGGAUAGGGGUUCUGAGAGGAAGGUCCCCCACAUUGGAACUGAGACACGGUCCAAACUCCUACGGGAGGCAGCAGUGAGGAAUAUUGGUCAAUGGGCGCGAGCCUGAACCAGCCAAGUAGCGUGAAGGAUGAAGGUCCUACGGAUUGUAAACUUCUUUUAUAAGGGAAUAAAGUCACCCACGUGUGGGUGUUUGUAUGUACCUUAUGAAUAAGCAUCGGCUAACUCCGUGCCAGCAGCCGCGGUAAUACGGAGGAUGCGAGCGUUAUCCGGAUUUAUUGGGUUUAAAGGGAGCGUAGACGGGUCGUUAAGUCAGCUGUGAAAGUUUGGGGCUCAACCUUAAAAUUGCAGUUGAUACUGGCGUCCUUGAGUACGGUUGAGGCAGGCGGAAUUCGUGGUGUAGCGGUGAAAUGCUUAGAUAUCACGAAGAACUCCGAUUG